rnacentral:rRNA from 1 species
AUUGAACGCUGGCGGAAUGCUUUACACAUGCAAGUCGAACGGCAGCACGGGGCAACCUGGUGGCGAGUGGCGAACGGGUGAGUAAUACAUCGGAACGUGCCCAAUCGUGGGGGAUAACGUAGCGAAAGUUACGCUAAUACCGCAUACGAUCUACGGAUGAAAGCGGGGGAUCGCAAGACCUCGCGCGAAUGGAGCGGCCGAUGUCAGAUUAGGUAGUUGGUGGGGUAAAGGCUCACCAAGCCUACGAUCUGUAGCUGGUCUGAGAGGACGAUCAGCCACACUGGGACUGAGACACGGCCCAGACUCCUCCGGGAGGCAGCAGUGGGGAAUUUUGGACAAUGGGCGCAAGCCUGAUCCAGCAAUGCCGCGUGCAGGAUGAAGGCCUUCGGGUUGUAAACUGCUUUUGUACGGAACGAAAAGUCUUGGGUUAAUACCCUGGGAUCAUGACGGUACCGUAAGAAUAAGCACCGGCUAACUACGUGCCAGCAGCCGCCGUAACAC